rnacentral:rRNA from 1 species
UACGGAGGGUGCAAGCGUUAUUCGGAAUUACUGGGCGUAAAGCGCGUGCAGGCGGCUUGGAAAGUCUGAUGUGAAAGCCCCGGGCUUAACCUGGGAAGUGCAUUGGAAACUCUCAAGCUUGAGUACUGGAGAGGAAGGGAGAAUUCCCGGUGUAGAGGUGAAAUUCGUAGAGAUCGGGAGGAACACCAGUGGCGAAGGCGCCCUUCUGGACAGAUACUGACGCUGAGACGCGAAAGCGUGGGGAGCAAACAGGAUUAGAUACCCUGGUAGUCCACGCCGUAAACGAUGAUCACUAGGUGUAGCGGGUACUCAUUCCUGCUGUGCCGAAGCUAACGCGUUAAGUGAUCCGCCUGGGGAUUACGGUCGCAAGACUAAA